GACGAACGCUGGCGGCGUGCUUAACACAUGCAAGUCGUACGGUAAGGCCCUUUCGGGGGUACACGAGUGGCUAACGGGCGAGUAACACGUGAGUAACCUGCCCACAACUUUGGGAUAACGCUAGGAAACUGGUGCUAAUACUGGAUAUGUGCUCCUGCUGCAUGGUGGGGGUUGGAAAGCUCCGGCGGUUGUGGAUGGACUCGCGGCCUAUCAGCUUGUUGGUGGGGUAGUGGCCUACCAAGGCGGCGACGGGGAGCCGGCCUGAGAGGGUGACCGGCCACAUUGGGACUGAGAUACGGCCCAGACUCCGACGGGAGGCAGCAGUGGGGAAUAUUGCACAAUGGGCGCAAGCCGGAUGCAGCAACGCCGCGUGCGGGAUGACGGCCUUCGGGUUGUAAACCGCUUUCAGCAGGGACGAAGCUUUUUGUGACGGUACCUGCAGAAGAAGCACCGGCUAACUACGUG
rnacentral:rRNA from 1 species